AUUGAACGCUGGCGGCAGGCCUAACACAUGCAAGUCGAGCGAGCGGCGGACGGGUGAGUAAUGUAUGGGGAUCUGCCCGAUAGAGGGGGAUAACUACUGGAAAGGUAGCUAAUACCGCAUACUAUUGGAGCGGCCGAUAUCGAGUUAGCUAGUUGGUGGGGUAACGGCUCACAAAGGCGACGAUCCGUAGCUGGUUUGAGAGGACGACCAGCCACACUGGGACUGAGAGAAGGCCCAUACUCCUACGUGAGGAAGAAGUGGGGAAUUGUGGACAAUGGGGGAAACCCUGAUCCAGCCAUCCCGCGUGUGCGAUGAAGGCCUUCGGGUUGUAAAGCACGUUUGGCAGGAAAGCGGUACCUGCAGAAUAAGCACCGGCUAACUACGUGCCAGCAGCCGCGGUAAUAC
rnacentral:rRNA from 1 species